rnacentral:rRNA from 1 species
AUUGAACGCUGGCGGAAUGCUUUACACAUGCAAGUCGAACGGCAGCAUAGGUGCUUGCGCCUGAUGGCGAGUGGCGAACGGGUGAGUAAUACAUCGGAACGUGCCCAGUCGUGGGGGAUAACGUAGCGAAAGUUACGCUAAUACCGCAUACGAUCUAAGGAUGAAAGCGGGGGACCGUAAGGCCUCGCGCGAUUGGAGCGGCCGAUGUCAGAUUAGGGUAGUUGGUGAGGUAAAGGCUCACCAAGCCGACGAUCUGUAGCUGGUCUGAGAGGAAGACCAGCCACACUGAGACUGAGACCCGGCCAAGACUCCUACGGGAGGCAGCAGUGGGGAAGUUUGGACGAUGGACGCAAGUCUGAUGCAGCCAUUCCGCGUGCAGGACGAAGGCCUUCGGGUUGUAAACUGCUUUUGUACGGAACGAAGAAGCUCUUACUAAUACUAGGAGUCCAUGACGGUACCGUAAGAAUAAGCACCGGCUAACUACGUGCCAGCCGCCGCAGUAA